UGAUGCAGUGAUGUAUAGAUGAUAGCAUAACAGCACAUCAGUUCCCGUGUGGCCCCCAUUUUACAGCCUGUCAAACAGUACUAGUCCUUAUUUUCCUUUCCUUUCACUAUCGUUUCUUUCUUCUCUAACCAUUAAGCAAAGCAAACUCUCACAAUCGCAUUAAAAUUAUACACAGCAAGACUGAGAAGAAGACUCAACAACCAUACCCCACAACACACGCUACUUCACUUUACCUUCUCUUCCAACCUUCUCACACUCUCAUUCCAUUUUAUCAUCAAAAAUACACAAACAAACACUACUGUUUCUCUUUCUCUCCAUUUUCAGAGCACCAUGGAUUCAAAAUCCAUCUAUGGUGUCUCCGUCGGCAAUUUCAUCAUCACCUUCUUUCUCCUUUUCAUCCUCCCAAUCCAUUCGGCAUUACCUCAUAACUCCUCCGCCGUUCAGAUCAACUCCAACUCCAUCCUCGUUGCGCUUCUUGAUUCCCAUUACACCGAACUAUCUGAACUUGUUGAGAAAGCUCUUCUUCUUCAGAAACUCGAAGAAGCUGUUGGGAAACACAAUAUCACUAUCUUCGCUCCUAGAAAUCAAGCUCUAGAACGUGACCUAGAUCCUGAAUUCAAACGGUUUCUUCUCGAGCCGCGUAAUUUGAGGUCUCUUCAAACGCUUUUGAUGUCUCACAUUCUUCCUUCCAGAAUCGCUUCACACCACUGGCCUAACACCGACCUUCACCACCAUACACUCUCCCACCACCGUCUUCAGUUAACCACAAAUCCUUCUGGGAAGAAAACUGUUGAUUCCGCUGAGAUUCUCAAACCCGACGACGUUAUCCGCCCCGACGGCGUUAUCCACGGAAUCGAACGCCUCAUUAUCCCUCGCUCCGUACAAGAAGAUUUCAACCGGAGGAGAAAUCUCGCUGAUAUAUCAGCGAUUCUCCCGGAAGGAGCACCGGUGGUAGAUCCACGAACUCACCGAUUAAAAAAACCGGUAUCCGUUCCAGCCGGAGCUCCACCGGUACUACCAAUCUACGACGCAUUGGCACCGGGACCAUCUCUAGCUCCGGCGCCGGCUCCAGGACCGGGAGGACCACGUCAUCACUUCAACGGAGAACGUCAAGUGAAGGAUUUCAUCCACACACUUUUGCAUUACGGAGGUUACAACGAAAUGGCAGAUAUUCUUGUUAACCUAACGUCGCUUGCAACGGAAAUGGGACGUUUAGUUUCUGAAGGCUAUGUUCUCACCGUUUUGGCACCAAACGACGAAGCAAUGGCGAAAUUAACCACCGAUCAAUUGAGUGAACCAGGUGCACCGGAACAAAUCAUAUACUACCACAUAAUUCCGGAAUAUCAAACGGAGGAGAGUAUGUAUAACGCCGUUAGAAGAUUCGGUAAAGUUAGUUACGAUACACUCCGUUUGCCUCAUAAGGUUGUUGCUCAGGAAUCUGACGGUUCCGUUAAAUUCGGUCACGGCGAUACUUCCGCUUAUCUGUUUGAUCCUGAUAUUUUCACCGACGGGAGAAUCUCCGUUCAGGGAAUUGACGGUGUUCUUUUACCUCCUGAGGAAGAAAAGGAAGAUGAAUCCCCAAUUAGCCGUGUAAAAACUCCACUUGUUAAAGUUGCUGCUAAACCAAAGAGAGGAAAAUUGCUGGAACUCGCUUGUAGCAUGGUUGGAUCUUUCGGAAGAGUCUGCUCAUGAUGAAAUCGCUUUCUCAACUAAUCGCUUAAAAAUAGAAAAAAAAUUAUAAUAAAAAAAGAGUGAAUUUAUGUAAACUUGAUGAAUGUUGUAGAGUAAUCAUUUUCAAUACAAAAGUGGAGCGAUUGAGUUGUGCAAGAUUUCGGUGGGAACUCACACAGAAGAUAGCAAAUUUUCUGUCAUUUUGUUUCAUACUGUAAUUACAUACUGUAUCAUUUUUUUAUUAAAUUUUUAUUUUAUGUUGAUUCACUGUCUCUGUAUGCAUAAAUAACUUUCCAAUACAACACUCUCCUAUCUCGGUUGCAUUA